AUUGAACGCUGGCGGCAUGCCUUACACAUGCAAGUCGAACGGUAACGGGCCUUCGGGUGCCGACGAGUGGCGAACGGGUGAGUAAUACAUCGGAACGUGCCCGAUCGUGGGGGAUAACGAGGCGAAAGCUUUGCUAAUACCGCAUACGAUCUACGGAUGAAAGCGGGGGACCGCAAGGCCUUGCGCGGACGGAGCGGCCGAUGGCAGAUUAGGUAGUUGGUGGGAUAAAAGCUUACCAAGCCGACGAUCUGUAGCUGGUCUGAGAGGAUGAUCAGCCACACUGGGACUGAGACACGGCCCAGACUCCUACGGGAGGCAGCAGUGGGGAAUUUUGGACAAUGGGCGCAAGCCUGAUCCAGCCAUGCCGCGUGCAGGAUGUAGGCCUUCGGGUUGUAAACUGCUUUUGUACGGAACGAAAAGCCUUCUUUUAAUACAGGAGGGUCAUGACGGUACCGUAAGAAUAAGCACCGGCUAACUACGUG
rnacentral:rRNA from 1 species